UGGUUCUGGCUUGACUGAUCUGGCCAAUUGACCAACAUAGCUCCAGCUCAUGCCAAAUUGUCGACCAUGUGAAAACCCUAGUUCACCAGCACGGCUCGAGCCCGGUUGACUAUCCUGGUCGAUUUGGGAUGGAAAGCAUAGGGGAUGCUUAGCUAUUUAACUAAGCUAAAAUAAAGAGAGAGCCACGGAAACAUAGUUCUGGGGGGCAAGAAGGGAUCUUUCGAUAAUGUAGAGUAGGGGGAUCUUCUACCAAUCAUCGACAAUGAGUGGGGG
rnacentral:lncRNA from 1 species